UAGAGACAAAGAGAUGUUGGUUUAAG
rnacentral:piRNA from 1 species